GACGGAGGGUGCAAGCGUUGUUCGGAAUUACUGGGUGUAAAGCGCGGGCAGGUGGCCUUUUAAGUCUUGUGUGAAAUCCCGGGGCUCAGCUCCGGAUGUGCAUAGGAUACUGGAAGGCUAGGGACUGGUAGAGGCGAGCGGAAUUCCUGGUGUAGCGGUGGAAUGCGUAGAUAUCAGGAAGAACACCGGUGGCGAAGGCGGCUCGCUGGGCCAGAUCCGACCCUCAGCCGCGAAAGCGUGGGGAGCAAACAGG
rnacentral:rRNA from 1 species